UACGGGGGGAGCAAGCGUUGUUCGGAUUUACUGGGCGUAAAGGGCGCGUAGGCGGCCACCGCAAGUCGGUUGUGAAAUCUCUGGGCUUAACCCAGAAAGGUCAACCGAUACUGCGGGGCUAGAGUGCAGAAGGGGCAACUGGAAUUCUCGGUGUAGCGGUGAAAUGCGUAGAUAUCGGGAGGAACACCUAUGGCGAAGGCAGCUCGCUGGGACGUUACUGACGCUGAGACGCGAAAGCGUGGGGAGCAAACAGG
rnacentral:rRNA from 1 species